CGGGGCUACUGCUCUGUAAUUGGCAUGGGGGCGACCUUCACCCUCGCCCGAGUACCCAUUGGAGGGCAAGUCUGGUGCCAGCAGCCGCGGUAAUUCCAGCUCCAAUAGCGUAUAUUAAACUUGUUGCAGUUAAAAAGCUCGUAGUUGUACUUUAUGUCCCUCGCGUGGUCCUUCCUCGCUAGGACGCCUCGUUACUUUGAGAAAAUUAGAGUGUUUCAAGCAGGUUUCGCCUGUAUAAUUGAGCAUGGAAUAACCUUGUAUGACCCCUGUCGUACCGUUGGUUGACUUUGGGUAAUGGUUAAUAGGAACGGUUGGGGGCAUUCGUACUCGACUGUCAGAGGUGAAAUUCUUAGAUUUGUCGAUGACGCACGACUGCGAAAGCAUCUGCCAAGGACGCUUCCAUUAAUCAAGAAC
rnacentral:rRNA from 1 species